rfam:Luteipulveratus sp. C296001 unitig_0_quiver_44, whole genome shotgun sequence.
AUCAGGCGCGGCGAUCGCGCCACCGGACGAGGGAGCAGUACCCGGCCAGCGACAAGACUGCCAAC